rnacentral:tRNA from 1 species
GUGGUGCAGUUGGUAGCACUGUUGCCUUGCAAUAAGAAGGUUCUGGGUUCGAUUCCCAGC